rnacentral:pre_miRNA from 1 species
GUGGGGGUUGGGGGUUCCCUCAGCCAGGAUUCCAAGAGGGUGCAGGCCAGGCCGCGGGACCCCACUGGUGCACA